rnacentral:rRNA from 1 species
GACGAACGCUGGCGGCGUGCUUAACACAUGCAAGUCGAACGGAAAGGCCCCUUUGGGGGUACUCGAGUGGCGAACGGGUGAGUAACACGUGAGUAACCUGCCCUUGACUUCGGGAUAACUUCAGGAAACUGGGGCUAAUACCGGAUAGGAAUCCUUGCUGCAUGGUGGGGGUUGGAAAGCUUCGGCGGUUUGGAUGGACUCGCGGCUUAUCAGCUUGUUGGUGGGGUAGUGGCUUACCAAGGCUUUGACGGGUAGCCGGCCUGAGAGGGCGACCGGCCACAUUGGGACUGAGAGACGGCCCAGACUCCUACGGGAGGCAGCAGUGGGGAAUAUUGCACAAUGGGCGGAAGCCUGAUGCAGCAACGCCGCGUGCGGGAUGACGGCCUUCGGGUUGUAAACCGCUUUCAGCAGGGGCGAAGCUUGUGGUGACGGUACCUGCAGAAGAAGCACCGGCUAACUACGUG